rfam:Camelus ferus unplaced genomic scaffold scaffold26915, whole genome shotgun sequence.
GAGGGUAUAGCUCAGUGGUGGAGUACAUGCUUAGCAUGCACAAGGUCCUGGGUCCAAUCUCCAGUACCUCCA